AGCGAACGUUUGCGGCGGGCCUAACACAUGCAAGUCGAACGGGCAGUCCCUUCGGGGGCUGUCAGUGGCGCACGGGUGCGUAACACGUAGGUAAUCAACCCUCGGGUUCGGGAUAACACUUCGAAAGGGGUGCUAAUACCGGAUGCGACGAGCGUCUCCUCGGAGAUGCACGGGAAAGAUCCGCAAGGGUCGCCCGAGGACGAGCCUGCGGCCCAUCAGCUUGUUGGUGAGGUAAUGGCUCACCAAGGCUAAGACGGGUAGCUGGUCUGAGAGGAUGAUCAGUCACACUGGAACUGAGACACGGUCCAGACUCCUACGGGAGGCAGCAGUGGGGAAUAUUGCGCAAUGGGCGAAAGCCUGACGCAGCCACGCCGCGUGAGCGAUGAAGGCCUCGGUCGUAAGAC
rnacentral:rRNA from 1 species